rnacentral:lncRNA from 1 species
GCCAUUUUCCUGCCUCAGCCUCCCGAGUAGCUGGGACUAUAGGCACCCGCCACCACGCCCGGCUAAUUUUUUGUAUUCACAGUACAGACGGGGUUUCACCGUGUUAGCCAGGAUGGUUUCGAUCUCCUGACCUCGUGAUCCGCCCGCCUCUGCCUCCCAAAGUGCUGGGAUUACAGGCGUGAGCCACCGCGCCCGGUGGAAAGGACACUUUUUUACAGUAUGAGCACUGAAACAAAAAGGCAAAGCAAGGUCUGUUCACCUUCAGCUGAGAACGUGAGGAUUGGUUCAGGAGUACAUGCGCAGGUUUGUCAUAUAAGCAAAUUAUGUGGCACAGAAGUUUGGUGUAUGGAUUAUUUCAUCACCCAGGCCGUUUCUCAGCGUUGGAUGUGCAAGCAGUUUUGAGAGAUGAAGUCAUGACUUCAAGACAAAAAAACAGGUUUGCUUAUUUUGCUACAAACCAAUAAGUUCUUCAGCCAUGCUGCAAAUCCACUGUGUAUCCAGUUCCCAUCUGCGGCCCGCACAUCAUCCCCAUGGGACUUGAGAGCAAGAGGAUCCCACGCAAAUCAUGUUGCUUGCUAUGCUGGCUCCCUGGAGAACUGGCUAAUUCUCGGGCAUGGAAUGAAAAAAUACAAGAUGAACCUGGAGAAGCUUUCUGUGUCAGAAAGUAAGAACGUGCUCAAAGAAUGAUGGGACCAUGUGAAAAGGACAUAGGAGUCUGUUUGAAAGGCAUCCCACUGGCCAAAUAUAGGAUAACUCUGAGGAUAAAAAUGUCAGUAAAGAAUUAUAACCCACUGAAAUAAAAAAUGAUAAA